GACGAACGCUGGCGGCGUGCUUAACACAUGCAAGUCGAGCGAUGAAGCUCCUCCGGGAGUGGAUUAGCGGCGGACGGGUGAGUAACACGUGGGUAACCUGCCUCAUAGAGGGGAAUAGCCUUUCGAAAGGAAGACUAAUACCGCAUAAGAUUGUAGCUUCGCAUGAAGCAGCAAUUAAAGGAGUAAUCCGCUAUGAGAUGGACCCGCGUCGCAUUAGCUAGUUGGUGAGGUAACGGCUCACCAAGGCGACGAUGCGUAGCCGACCUGAGAGGGUGAUCGGCCACAUUGGGACUGAGACACGGCCCAGACUCCUACGGGAGGCAGCAGUGGGGAAUAUUGCACAAUGGGGGAAACCCUGAUGCAGCAACGCCGCGUGAGUGAUGACGGUCUUCGGAUUGUAAAGCUCUGUCUUCAGGGACGAUAAUGACGGUACCUGAGGAGGAAGCCACGGCUAACUACGUGCCAGCCGCCGCAGUAAGAC
rnacentral:rRNA from 1 species